rnacentral:lncRNA from 1 species
GGCAAAUAUGCAUUAUCCACUGAGAGUACUUGUGUCAUUGGAUCUAUCACUAGAACAAUUUAGCCUACAUGUUCAGAUUGGUGGUGAGUGGUGGCAUAAUUUGUUUGCGUCCCAAUGUACACACUGUUAAAAUUAGGAAGCUCCAAUUGGUAGCCAGCCAAAUGCAGUGAUAGAGUACUUCAUCGUGUUUACAUGCAUAAUGGUUGGAGUGCACCGAUGUGUAAUUGUUUAUCUUUCAAUUUAAAUGGAUAUGAUAUUGCUUUUGUCCUUGCUAAGAACUAAAAAUUAAUUCUUUCAUCAUGUCAUUUUUUAGUGGAAAUUAUUGUUUUUUAGUGUACUGAUGUGAUAGGGCAGGUAUGGGUGUUCACACUUAAAGUUGGUUUCUUUUUAAGUGUGUCUACUAUAUUCUGUGGUUUUGUUCAGAGUGUCUGUAUAAUACAAAAUCAGUUUGUAGCAUAAGUUUGUUAUUGAUCUUCCCGAUUGUUGUGUGAUGUUUCCAUUAUAGCAUUAUCUUUAUGCCUAAUGUACUUAACAUGGGUACAAUAUGCUUGUGUUAAUCAUGUUUGCCUUUCCAUCAAUUAACCUUGCGAAAGUGAAGUCAUAGCCCAUAUGGCAUUGUUUUCCUUUCAAUUGUGUUCCAUAUUGACGAGUUUGAGGUUCUUUGGAUUAUUACUUGAAAGAAAUUCUGCUCUCCUUAAAUUCGUUGGAAACUUAGGGCUAGUGCAGCUUAUAAUGUUGCUUUAUUUAUCAUAUAUUUAACCAGCUGGGACAAGUAGUGACUUUUUAAUAUUGAUAAUUUGAGUUCAUUGCUGAAUGAUAUGGAAAUAUUGAGUAAAAUAAUUAUAAAUGAAAUGAAAUCAUGAUGUAUGGGUUAAUAUCAAAGGUCUAUAGGUUCUCACUUAGUUCUACUUUUAAAACCGUAGUUUUUAUGUUAAAAAGCAUGUGUAUCUUUGUUGUUGCUAGACGUACAUUACCACUUUUGGCGAUUGUUCACUCCAGAGUUUUUCACCACCCUGUUCUCUCUUCAUAUAGUAAGCAAUGGCAUUGUCACUUUUAAUCCACAUGUCCUAACCAAACUCUAUAGGUAAACAUAAUUGAACUUGUGCUCUUUUGUGUUGAAAAAGAUGACCGAGAUAGUUAAUUUGAUAAGCAAAUUAUCCAGUGGGAGUACGUAUUUCAUUGGAGGUAUCAUUAGAAUGAUGUAGCCUAUGUUUAGAUUGGUGGCGACAUACAUUUUUCCGCGCCUCAAUGUAGACACCUUGUGAAAAUUAGGAAGCUCCAAUUUGUAUCAGUAGCUAAACAAAAAUGAUGCAGCAUUCCGUUGUGGUUAUGCACAUAGUGGUUGUUGGAGUGUACUUUUGUUUAUCUUUUGAUUUGAAUGGAUAUUGUCCUUGCCAAGAACUAUAUCUUUCAUACUGUAUGUUUUUUAGUGGAAAUUAUUGUUAAGUUACUUCACUGUCGUAAUACAUUAAGGCUGAAGAAUGUUUAGCACAAAAGAAUGUUCUGUCAGUUGUGGGUUGUUAGUUUACUUUUUUGGUUAUCCAAGUUGAAAACAAUUUUUUUGCCAUAUAUUCGAAUGUGAUACUUUAUUGUUUUCAGUAAGUAAAACUUCUUUCCAGUGCACUAUGUAGGAAUACAUAUUCCAAUCGCUUGAGAUUUUAUUCACCAUAAACCUGGAAAACAUAGGCCCUGAUAUUCUAAAAUCUAGAUGAGAGAAUGUCUCCUUCUCCAUUGGCUCAAGCAUCGUUCCUAGACGUGCAUUGAAAUCAUUAUAAUUUGCAGUGUUAUACUUAUUGUACGAAAAAUGCUUCGUGUUGUGGUUUUUUUUUUUUUUUUUUUACAACAGCUUCUUGUUGUGGCUAGCUCUAUGUGUAUAGUUGUCUUGAUUAGCCAUGCUCCUCCCAUAGGAAUUGCGCUGACUCUGGACGUGUGGUGUGAGAUCAUUAGGAAGCUUCCUUGGUAUUCUUCUCUGGUUAACAUGUACAUUGUUCAUGCAGAGAGUGAUAGGCUGUCUGGUAUGGCUUGAGGGAAAAUGGAAUCCCUAUUUGCUCUCUGACUUCAUAUAGGAAUAGGGAAGGUUUCCUUGUCUCUAAACAUCCUUGUUCUGGUUUGUGGGAUGAAUGUUUAUAAAGUAGCCGAUACUUUUGAUUUGGGAUCUUUGUUCAUGUUCUUAAAUCAGCAGUCUUUUUUAAAAAAAAAUAAAAUAAAAUCAAAAUGAUAUAUUAAUCAGAGAGCCAUCUUCCAUCACUGUUAAAAAAGCAAAAAUUAGUGAGGGAAUUUUAGAAAGGGAAAACGUGAAAUUCC